AUCCAAUGCAAUUUGCUUCAGGGAAUAGCUAUACCAGAAUGAGUUAUUGCCUGCUUCGUUUCUGAAGGAUGUGUUCCCUGCUAGCAAAGACCUCUUUCAUUAAGGUCCCUCUGAAUCUACUCCAGAACUCCCUGGCCGAGGUGUGGAGCAGCCUGGUUUCUCAUGAACAUACAGAGACUGCAAGCAGCUGAAUGAUGGUAGAGUAAAACCCACCAAGGCAAAGUUACCAUGAAGGGAUCGAACAAGGCACUAGGACCUAGGAGGCGUCUCAUCCACCCUGGCAGGAAUUUCUUGCUUGGAGCUCAGACAACAAAGGCAGAGUGAGCCUGGUUUUCUUUCUCUCAGCAUCUCCACCCUGUGCGCUGAAAACCGCUUCAGAUCUUUAGGGUUCACCAAACUAUGGAACUUGAUUUUGGACACUUUGACGAAAGAGACAAGGCGUCCAGAAACAUGCGAGGCUCACGUAUGAACGGGUUGCCCAGCCCCACUCACAGUGCUCACUGUAGCUUCUACAGAACCAGGACCUUACAGGCGCUGAGCAAUGAGAAGAAAGCCAAGAAGGUGCGUUUCUAUCGCAACGGGGACCGCUACUUCAAGGGGAUUGUAUACGCCGUGUCCUCUGACCGCUUCCGAAGUUUUGAUGCUCUCCUGGCUGACCUGACCCGCUCCCUGUCCGACAACAUCAACCUGCCUCAGGGAGUCCGCUACAUUUACACCAUCGAUGGGGCGCGGAAGAUCGGGAGCAUGGAUGAGCUGGAGGAAGGUGAAAGUUAUGUCUGCUCAUCUGACAACUUCUUCAAGAAGGUGGAAUAUACCAAGAAUGUCAAUCCUAACUGGUCCGUCAACGUGAAGACAUCUGCCAACCAGAAAGCACCUCAGUCUCUGGCCAGCAGCAACAGCGCCCAGGCAAAGGAGAACAAAGAUUUUGUGCGGCCCAAGCUGGUAACCAUCAUCCGUAGCGGGGUGAAGCCCCGGAAAGCAGUCCGUGUUCUCUUGAACAAGAAGACUGCCCAUUCGUUUGAGCAAGUUCUCACUGAUAUCACUGAAGCUAUCAAGCUGGAGACAGGAGUGGUCAAAAAGCUGUAUACUCUGGACGGGAAACAGGUGACCUGUCUCCACGAUUUCUUUGGGGAUGAUGAUGUGUUUAUCGCCUGUGGUCCAGAAAAAUUCCGCUAUGCACAGGAUGACUUUUCUCUGGAUGAAAGCGAGUGCCGGGUGAUGAAAGGGAGCCCAGCGACCGCCACGGGCAGUAAGUCAUCUCCCACCCCUCAGAAGAGCUCAGCAAAGAGUCCAGCUCCUAUGCGCCGCAGCAAGUCUCCAGCUGAUUCAGGUAACCAUCAAGAUGGUGAGUGAUUGUUUUCUGCUGUCUGAAUAUUAACUCUGCUCAGGAGGAAAACAGGCAGUGUGUGUCUUUGGAUACGCUGACCAGUGGUCAGCGUAUGCAUUUGAGACUUUGGCACAAGAAGCUGGUGCUACCUUACAGGGUCACUGAAUAAAAGUUGUAGAGGAAUUCCCUGUCAGUUGAGUGUAAUCAUGGCUUUGGGAUGAUACCAGCCACAGUCUCCCAGCCUCUUGCUCUAAAAAUCUUUAAAAGCAAGUGUUUCCAUUUUGCAGGCAGGAAAUCAAGGCCCACAAUAUUCCUGUACAUUUGCUGUAGGUACAGACUGAUUUGGAAUAACCUCUUGUGCAAUGCAAAUGGUAAUUGUUGUACAAGUCAGAAGUGUCCCCUUUUAAUCACUAUUUAAAGAAGACCAGUGACCUACUAGCUAGAGAACUGGUGGUGGGCUUAUUGCUGUGAUAGAGACAUUCGUUCAGUAGAACUGAGAAGCAAAAUGACAAUCCUGAUUUGCUGCAGCAGCUUUCACCAUUUGAAAUGCCUCCCUCCCUCUUCAGUAGCAACUGGAUUGGCAGUGUAGCACACAUGGAGAGCUGCUGAGACUACAAAUUAAAGGCCUGGCCGAAUAUCACACCUCUUGUAAUUGGUAGUUUUUACAGUCAUAUACUGGAGAAAUUGGGUCUCUAGGUUUAUCAUCUGACCUGCUACUUUUUCCAAAAGAGAGCCAGACAUGGCCUUUCAUUAAAAUGGCCAAAUCACCAAUUAAGCAUUUCAGGAUUCCAGGAAAGCUUCAUAGAUUGAAUUCAAAUGACUCACAGUAUUAACACAGGUGAUAUAAAGCAGAAAUUGCUUUUCACCUUCAUGGUAUCACAUUGUAUUUUCUAUGUGAACACCACUCAAUGAUUGACCAUCAGUAGAUAUUAGAUUACUAGAUUUAAAAUUCUUCUUACAGUAUUCAGAAGGCUUUUCCGCAUGAAGCAGUUAAUUUGUUUAGGGUCUCUGGAUGUUCUUUAGCUACUUAAAAAGACAAUGUGAAAUUGGUUGGCACAUGCCAAGACUCUGGUUUAAAUAAUUACUUCUUUAUAAGGUGAUUCUGCAUUCAGAGUUUUCCUUCAACGUUCCAGUACACACUGUUCUAAAACCCAGGCUUUCUGUAAUCUAAAAAGCUUUUACAAUACCAAAUGCAUGGUGGAGCUGUGUAGGUGUAUUGAAAAUGUGAUUGAAAAUCUGCUGUUGAUUAAAAACAAAACCAAACAAUCUCCUAUUCAGUGAUCUAGGAGUCAGGCCAUGCAUGAGUUCUGAGACAUCAUUUAAACUCCAUACGCAUCAGGUGCUAAUUGCCACCAGAACUAGACUUUGUUGCAUGAGCAGGUAGUCUAAUGUGAAAUGGCAACUAUUGUGUUCUUGAUUUUAACUGAUUGAAUGACUCACGAGAACAAAACGGUGAGUCAUCUGAUGAAGUCCGAUGAACAUGGUUAGUCGAGCCUUUCAGAGGGAGAUUAAAAUAACCAGAAAUGUCAAACAAUAGCCAGCUCCUGGAGUUAAGGCUUGUAAUGAAGGACAAAUCAAGUUUCUUUAAUCCAUGUAGGCAAAGGUCUUUCGUACUGUCCUGUGAUGUCCAUAAAGGAGAAGUAGCAUCCUGUCCUGUUUAAUGAGAACAGGAAAUGACCAAACUUUUAGUGCUGGAAAGUUAAUCAAAGACAGUUGUUUUCUCAGGACAGAGAGAAUAAGGAAUAUCACCA